ensembl:lncRNA
GCACUCCUGUCCGCUGACGAGGGCUCCUCCCUUCAGCUUCAGUCCCUCGGGGCGUUUGGGCAGCCUACGCUUUCCGGAUAAAAAUGGCAGAAUGAAAGAAUUAUAAGUGGAACUAGAGAAUAGGAAAGCCACGAACCAGUGCCCAAAAUGAGAAAGAAGGACAUAUAAAGAAAAAGACAAAUACACGUGAAAAAAAUAGACUAGUGGAUUUAUGUCCCUGUUGUGUGACAUUUUCUUGUAUAACAGCUGAAGAUGUUGAAGCCUGUGGUGCAUUUUUGCAAAUGUGUGUAUAAAGUGGAAUGUAAGUUUUACCAGUAAUUGUCUGUAGAUACAAAAAGCCAACCCUUUUUUUUGUUUGUUUUAGUGUGGUGUUCCUUGAUUUAUCUUUGAACUCUCAAAGGUAGCCUUUACACAGAUGUUCAGUUAAACUAAUUCUACCAGUGUCAUAUGUCUACCAAUCUCAUUACUUCCCUUGUAUGUACUUCUAGGUGAAAGAGCUCAUUACAGUAAGAAUGAUGGUAAAUUUUACCAAGGUAAAAGAUUUCUGAACACGAGCAGUGUGAGUGAAACGCUUAUGCACUAACUGAUAGCAUAACUCUGGCCAAAGAAAUUUGAAUGGUCACUUAAAUAUUAUAAAUGAAUUUAGUUCCUAAAGUAGCCGUUCUUAACCUGGAAUCCGAAGAAAAGCCUGUCGGUGGGGUUCCCAGGGAAUUUGUGAACCACUGAAAUUAUAUACAUAAUUGCACAUCUGUGUGUGUGUGUUUGUGUGUGUGUGUGUGUGUAUAUAUAUAUAUAUAUUUUUUUUUUUUUUUUUUUUUUGAGACAGAGUUGCGCUCUGUUGCCCAGCCUGGAGUGCAGUGGCACGAUCUGGGCUCACUGCAAGCUCCGCCUCCUGGGUUCUCGCCAUUCUCCCGCCUCAGCCUCUGGAGUAGCUGGGGCUACUGGCGCCUGCCACCACGCUCGGCUAAUUUUUUGUAUUUUUAGUAAAGAUGGGGUUUCACCGUGUUAGCCAGGAUGGUCUCGAUCUCCUGACCUCGUGAUCCACCCGUCUUGGCUUCCCAAAGUGCUGGAAUUACAGGCUCAAGACGGAGUUUUGCUCUUGCAGUUGACCAGGCUGGAGUGCAAUAGCGCAGUCUCGGCUUACUGCAGCCUCCGCCUCCUGAGUUCAAGCUAUUCUUCUACCUAAGCCUCCCAAGUAACUGCGAUUACAGGCACCUGCCAUCACGCCCGGCUGAAUUUUUUUGUAUUUAGUAGAGGCGAGGUUUCACCACGUUGGUCAGGCUGGUCUUGAACGCCCGACCUCAGGUGAUCCACCCAGCUUGGCCUCCCAAAGUGGUAGGAUUACAGGCAUGAGCCACCGCUCCUGGCUCAUUUGUACAUUUAUCUAGGGGCGAGGUUUGUAGCUUUCAUUUGCCUUGCUUGCUCUGCAUUUUGCCAUCCCAUUUCUUUUUAUCUUCUGCCUAUUCCAGAAUGAUCUUGAUUGAGGAUCUUUCUAUGAAAACUAGAAAUAUUCCCAAGGAUGCUUUAAUUUUGUUAAGUAUCAGGGCGUACGUAGGUCAUAAUACUGUAUCACUCUGGGAUAGAGAGGGUUAGGCUUUGGAGUAAAAAGACCCUAGCCUCGAUCCUGGCUCUGCCACUUACUGUUCUGAAUCUGAGAAAAUGACUUAAUCUCUCAGAGAUUCAGUUUAUACUGAAACUCAGUCUUACACAUCUGAAAAAAGAGGACUAUUAAUAUUUGCAACAGAUUUAAUAACUAACAAAUAUGAAGUAUAUAAAGCACCUAUGUUAUGUACUUUACUGGAUGCAUAAGUGUUCAGUGAAUGGGAACCAUUUAAAAGCUUCCAGAAAGCAGGAACAGUAAUUGAAGAUAUCAAUCUGUAGAGUAACCACUAUGUUUAAUCAUUGUUUGUUAUUCUAAUACAUGCAUAAGAAUGUAUAUGUGCAUUCAUGCAUGUAUACGUAUUGGCCAUAAUUACCUUUUCUCUGUGGUGUAUAAUACAGAUUCUUGUUCUUCUGUGUCAUCACCUACAUGUAAUAGUAUCAGAAUUUUCAUUUUUUGUCAGUUUAUUGGUUUUAAAACUCUAUCUUGUGUUUACUUUGCAUUCCUUGCAGGAUGAGGAUGUUUUGUUUUCUGGUCUUGGUCUCAUUCUUCCUUCUUUUUCCUGUUGGUCUUGUUUUUUUCUUUUUGGUUUGUAGGGUAUAUUAGGAUGGUGCAAAAGUAAUUGAGGUUUUUGCAUUGUUGAAAUUUGUCAUUUGAUACUGGAAUACCCUCUUAAACCUUCUUAAAUAAAUGUGGUUAUGUUAUACAU